CUGCUCCCCAGGGUUUCUCUUCCCCCUCCCCCGGGUGCCUUUGGGUGCAGGAAGGCACUACCAGGAGCUUUGCCUCCAGAAAAGGCACAGCAUGACUUCGGUGGUGGAAAAUGAGCAAUGUGCAAGUGCAUCAACACAGGGCACUGAGAAAGCAGCAAAUGUUUUCAUGCAAUGAUCUGUCUGAUGAUUCGACAAAUCGUUUCCUUCAGUGAAAAAGUUUCCAGUUUGAUGACGACAAUGCCCAGACUGAAUGCCAGGCCAGGAAGGCAGGUGACAGCAGUGGAAAACCAGCUACAGUUACACUAGGAACUGCCAUCAGUGCUACCUGGGAUACAGCGACCCUAUGAGGAAAUGAUCUCUCUGUGUGCUGAACCUGUUUGGAAGUGUAUGGAAAAUAAACAGCUUUGGUCAUGCCAGGUUUAGUUGGGCAUGCUUUCCCUUUCAA